AGCGGACCGACGGGAGCUUGCUCCCUUGGGUCAGCGGCGGACGGGUGAGUAACACGUGGGUAACCUGCCUGUAAGACUGGGAUAACUCCGGGAAACCGGGGCUAAUACCGGAUGCUUGAUUGAACCGCAUGGUUCAAUCAUAAAAGGUGGCUUUCAGCUACCACUUACAGAUGGACCCGCGGCGCAUUAGCUAGUUGGUGAGGUAACGGCUCACCAAGGCGACGAUGCGUAGCCGACCUGAGAGGGUGAUCGGCCACACUGGGACUGAGACACGGCCCAGACUCCUACGGGAGGCAGCAGUAGGGAAUCUUCCGCAAUGGACGAAAGUCUGACGGAGCAACGCCGCGUGAGUGAUGAAGGUUUUCGGAUCGUAACACUCUGUUGUUAGGGAAGAACAAGUAC
rnacentral:rRNA from 1 species